rnacentral:rRNA from 1 species
UACUAGCGGUCCAAGUCGCAGCCACAAUUGUUGGGUCUAAAACAUCCGUAGCUUGCUUGAUAAGUUUCUUGUGAAAUCUGGCCUCUCAAGGGUCAGGCGUGCAGGAAGUACUAUCUCGCUAGAGACUGGAAGACGUAAGGAGUACGAUUAAAGUAGUGGUAAAAUACGUUAAUCUUUGUCGGACUAACAACAGCGAAGGCACCUUACGAGGACAGUUCUGACAGUGAGGGAUGAAGGCUAGGGGCGCAAAAAG